UUUGAUAAAAAGGACUGUAAU
rnacentral:piRNA from 1 species